AAAGCAGUGAUGUGGAGCAAAACACAAAAAGCAGUCUCAGUUCAGAUUGUAGGCUGAAACUCGCCUAUAUGAAGUCGGAAUUGCUAGUAAUCGCAGAUCAGCAUGCUGCGGUGAAUACGUUCCCGGGCCUUGUACACACCGCCCGUCACACCAUGGGAGUCAGCAACGCCCGAAGUCAGUGACCUAACCGAAAGGGAGGAGCUGCCGAAGGCGGGGCCGGUAACUGGGGUGAAGUCGUAACAAGGUACC
rnacentral:rRNA from 1 species